rnacentral:rRNA from 1 species
CCCUUAGAUGUUCUGGGCCGCACGCGCGCUACACUGACGGAGGCAGCGAGCAUGUCCUUCGCCGAGAGGUGUGGGGAAUCUUGUGAGUCUCCGUCGUGCUGGGGAUAGAUGGUUGCAAUUGUCGAUCUUGAACGAGGAAUUCCCAGUAAGCGCGAGUCAUCAGCUCGCGCUGAUUACGUCCCUGCCCUUUGUACACACCGCCCGUCGCUACUACCGAUUGGAUGGCUUAGCGAGAAUUUUGGAUCGGAGCCCGGGUGGUCGGCAACGGUCGCCCGGGAGAUCUGAGAAAUCAUUCCAGCUUGGUCAUCUAGAGGAAGUAAAAGUCGUAACA